ACCUGCCCCUGUGCGGGGGAUAACAGGAGGAAACUCCUGCUAAUACCGCAUAGCCAUGAGCACCGCAUGGAGCUCAUGCCAAAUAUCCUUUCGGGGAUAGCGCAGGGAUGGACCUAUGGCGCAUUAACUGGUUGGCGGGGCAACGGCCCACCAAGGCAACGAUGCGUAGCCGGCCUGAGAGGGCGGACGGCCACAUUGGGACUGAGACACGGCCCAGACUCCUACGGGAGGCAGCAGUAGGGAAUUUUCGGCAAUGGGGGAAACCCUGACCGAGCAACGCCGCGUGAGCGAAGAAGGCCUUCGGGUCGUAAAGCUCUGUUGUAAAGGAAGAACGGCGCAUACAGGAAAUGGUAUGCGAGUGACGGUACUUUACCAGAAAGCCACGGCUAACUACGUGCCAGCAGCCGCGGUAAUACGUAGGUGGCGAGCGUUAUCCGGAAUCAUUGGGCGUAAAGAGGGAGCAGGCGGCCGCAAGGGUCUGUGGUGAAAGACCGAAGCUAAACUUCGGUAAGCCAUGGAAACCGGGCGGCUAGAGUGCGGAAGAGGAUCGUGGAAUCCCAUGUGUAGCGGUGAAAUGCGUAGAUAUAUGGAGGAACACCAGUGGCGAAGGCGACGGUCUGGGCCGCAACUGACGCUCAUUCCCGAAAGCGUGGGGAGCAAAUA
rnacentral:rRNA from 1 species